AAACAAUAGCAUAAUCUAUAUGCAUUUCGAUUUCGGCUCGAAAAGAGGUACCAAACCAUUGUUUU
rnacentral:tRNA from 1 species